UACGGAGGGUGCGAGCGUUGUCCGGAAUCACUGGGCGUAAAGGGCGCGUAGGUGGUGGCUUAAGCGUGCGGUGAAAGCUCGGAGCUCAACUCCGAGUCGGCCGUGCGAACUGGGCUCACUGGAGCAUAGUAGAGGCAGGUGGAAUUCCGGGUGUAGCGGUGGAAUGCGUAGGAGAUCCGGAAGAACACCGGUGGCGAAGGCGGCCUGCUGGGCUAUGGCUGACACUGAGGCGCGACAGCGUGGGGAGCAAACAGG
rnacentral:rRNA from 1 species